rnacentral:misc_RNA from 1 species
GAUGAAGAACGUAGUGAAAUGCGAUACGUAAUGUGAAUUGCAAAUUCAGUGAAUCAUCGAGUCUUUGAACGCACAUUGCGCCCCCUGGUAUUCCGGGGGGCAUGCCUGUCCGAGCGUCAUUGCUGCCCUCAAGCACGGCUUGUGUGUUGGGCCCCGUCCUCCGAUCCCGGGGGACGGGCCCGAAAGGCAGCGGCGGCACCGCGUCCGGUCCUCGAGCGUAUGGGGCUUUGUCACACGCUCUGUAGGCCCGGCCGGCGCUUGCCGAUCAACCCAAAUUUUUAUCCAGGUUGACCUCGGAUCAGGUAGGGAUACCCGCUGAACUUAAGCAUAACAGUAAGCGGAGGA